rnacentral:rRNA from 1 species
CCUACGGGUGACAGCAGUCGAGAAUCAUUCACAAUGGGGGAAACCCUGAUGGUGCGACGCCGCGUGGGGGAAUGAAGGUCUUCGGAUUGUAAACCCCUGUCAUGUGGGAGCAAAUUAAAAAGAUAGUACCACAAGAGGAAGAGACGGCUAACUCUGUGCCAGCAGCCGCGGUAAUACAGAGGUCUCAAGCGUUGUUCGGAAUCACUGGGCGUAAGGCGUGCGUAGGCUGUUUCGUAAGUCGUGUGUGAAAGGCGCGGGCUCAACCCGCGGACGGCACAAGAUACUGCGAGACUAGAGUAAUGGAGGGGGAACCGGAAUUCUCGGUGUAGCAGUGAAAUGCGUAGAGAUCGAGAGGAACACUCGUGGCGAAGGCGGGUUCCUGGACAUUAACUGACGCUGAGGCACGAAGGCCAGGGGAGCGAAAGGGAUUAGAUACCCCUGUAGUC